AGAGUUUGAUCCUGGCUCAGGACGAACGCUGGCGGCGUGCCUAACACAUGCAAGUUGAGCGACGAACCAGGGCUUGCCCUGGGGCAAAGCAGCGAACGGGUGAGUAACACGUGGGUAACCUGCCCCGAAAACCGGGACAACCCGAGGAAACUCGAGCUAAUACCGGAUGUGCCCUCCGGACUCAAGUCCGGCGAGUAAAGGAAGCUUCGGCCUCCGUUUCGGGAGGGGCCCGCGGCCCAUUAGCUUGUUGGUGAGGUAACGGCUCACCAAGGCGACGAUGGGUAGCUGGUCUGAGAGGACGAUCAGCCACACUGGGACUGAGACACGGCCCAGACUCCUACGGGAGGCAGCAGUGGGGAAUCUUGCGCAAUGCGCGAAAGCGUGACGCAGCAACGCCGCGUGGGGGAAGACGGCCUUCGGGUUGUAAACCCCUUUCAGGAGGGACGAAGGCAUGGCGGUGAACAGCCGACCGUGCUGACGGUACCUCCAGAAGAAGCCCCGGCUAACUACGUGCCAGCAGCCGCGGUAAUACGUAGGGGGCAAGCGUUGUCCGGAAUCAUUGGGCGUAAAGCGCGCGUAGGCGGCCCGGUAAGUCCGCUCUGAAAGUCCAGGGCUCAACCCUGGAAAGCGGGUGGAUACUGCCGGGCUAGAGUCCGGAAGAGGCGAGUGGAAUUCCUGGUGUAGCGGUGGAAUGCGCAGAUAUCAGGAGGAACACCAAUAGCGAAGGCAGCUCGCUGGGACGGUACUGACGCUGAGGCGCGAAAGCGUGGGGAGCAAACAGGAUUAGAUACCCCCGUAGUCC
rnacentral:rRNA from 1 species